rnacentral:tRNA from 1 species
GGAGAGGUGACCGAGCGGCUGAAGGUGCUCGCCUGCUAAGCGAGUGAGGGGGCAACUCCUCCGAGGGUUCGAAUCCCUCCCUCUCCGCCA